rnacentral:rRNA from 1 species
AUGACCUCAAAGUUCAAGAUGUCCAUGAUGGGAGAGUUGAAGUUCUUUCUCGGGUUCGAAAUCAAACAAAGAAGAGAAGAAACCUUCAUCAACCAAGCCAAAUACACUCAAGACAUGCUCAAGAGAUUCAAGCUAAGUGAUGUCAAGCCGGCUUCCACUCCAAUGCCCGUCAAAUGCCAACUUGACAUAGAUCCCAAUGGUAAAGCGGUGGAUCAAAAGGUAUAUCGUUCCAUGAUUGGCUCCUUGCUUUACCUUUGUGCAUCUAGACCAGAUAUCAUGUUGAGUGUGGGAAUUUGUGCACGGUUUCAAGCCGCACCUAAGGAAAGCCACUAUGUGGUGGUCAAGCGAAUCUUUCGAUAUUUGGCUCAUACCCCAAACUUUGGCUUAUGGUACCCUAGAGGAGCAAACUUCAACCUUGUGGGCUUUUCGGACUCGGAUUGGGCGGGAGACAAAGUGGAUAGGAAGUCAACUUCCGGAGGGUGCCAAUUUCUUGGUUGCUCUUUGGUGAGUUGGUCUUCUAAGGAACAAAGUUGUGUGUCUCUCUCCUCCACCGAAGCGUAG